AGUUUGAUCCUGGCUCAGGAUGAACGCUGGCGGCGUGCCUAAUACAUGCAAGUCGAACGAAUCUCUUUUAGAGAUGAGUGGCGAACGGGUGAGUAAUACAUAGGUAACCUGCCCCUGUGCGGGGGAUAACAGGAGGAAACUCCUGCUAAUACCGCAUAGCCAUGAGCACCGCAUGGAGCUCAUGCCAAAUAUCCUUUAUGGGAUAGCGCAGGGAUGGACCUAUGGCGCAUUAGCUGGUUGGCGGGGCAACGGCCCACCAAGGCAACGAUGCGUAGCCGGCCUGAGAGGGCGGACGGCCACAUUGGGACUGAGACACGGCCCAGACUCCUACGGGAGGCAGCAGUAGGGAAUUUUCGGCAAUGGGGGAAACCCUGACCGAGCAACGCCGCGUGAGCGAAGAAGGCCUUCGGGUCGUAAAGCUCUGUUGUAAAGGAAGAACGGCGCAUACAGGAAAUGGUAUGCGAGUGACGGUACUUUACCAGAAAGCCACGGCUAACUACGUGCCAGCAGCCGCGGUAAUACGUAGGUGGCGAGCGUUAUCCGGAAUCAUUGGGCGUAAAGAGGGAGCAGGCGGCCGCAAGGGUCUGUGGUGAAAGCCCGAAGCUAAACUUCGGUAAGCCAUGGAAACCGGGCGGCUAGAGUGCGGAAGAGGAUCGUGGAAUUCCAUGUGUAGCGGUGAAAUGCGUAGAUAUAUGGAGGAACACCAGUGGCGAAGGCGACGGUCUGGGCCGCAACUGACGCUCAUUCCCGAAAGCGUGGGGAGCAAAUAGGAUUAGAUACCCUAGUAGUCCACGCCGUAAACGAUGGUCACUAAGUGUCGGGGGUCAAACCCCGGUGCUGCAGUCAACGCAAUAAGUGACCCGCCUGAGUAGUACGUUCGCAAGAAUGAAACUCAAAUGAAUUGACGGAAGGGCGA
rnacentral:rRNA from 1 species